UCGAGAAUCUUCGGCAAUGGGCGAAAGCCUGACCGAGCAAUGCCGCGUGCGGGAUGAAGGCCCUCGGGUUGUAAACCGCGAAAGUGAGGAGGAAGGGCCCGUGAAGAGCGGGUCUUGACCGAUCCACAGUAAGGACGGGCUAAGUUCGUGCCAGCAGCCGCGGUAACACGAACCGUCCAAACGUUAUUCGGAAUUAUUGGGCUUAAAGGGUGCGUAGGCGGCCCUGUAAGUCGGGUGUGAAAUCCUUCGGCUCAACCGAAGAAUUGCGCCCGAUACUGCGGGGCUAGAGGGAGACAGGGGUGAGCGGAACUGAUGGUGGAGCGGUGAAAUGCGUUGAUAUCAUCAGGAACACCGGUGGCGAAAGCGGCUCACUGGGUCUCUACUGACGCUGAGGCACGAAAGCCAGGGUAGCGAACGGGAUUAGAUACCCCUGUAGUCC
rnacentral:rRNA from 1 species